AUUGAACGCUGGCGCAUGCCUUACACAUGCAAGUCGAACGGCAGCACGGGAGCAAUCCUGGUGGCGAGUGGCGAACGGGUGAGUAAUAUAUCGGAACGUGCCCAGUCGUGGGGGAUAACGUAGCGAAAGCUACGCUAAUACCGCAUACGAUCUAUGGAUGAAAGCGGGGGAUCGCAAGACCUCGCGCGAUUGAAGCGGCCGAUAUCAGAUUAGGUAGUUGGUGAGGUAAAGGCUCACCAAGCCGACGAUCUGUAGCUGGUCUGAGAGGACGACCAGCCACACUGGGACUGAGACACGGCCCAGACUCCUACGGGAGGCAGCAGUGGGAAUUUUGGACAAUGGGCGCAAGCCUGAUCCAGCAAUGCCGCGUGCAGGAUGAAGGCCUUCGGGUUGUAAACUGCUUUGUACGGAACGAAACGGUGAGCUCUAAUACAGUUUGCUAAUGACGGUACCGUAAGAAUAAGCACCGGCUAACUACGUG
rnacentral:rRNA from 1 species